AGAGUUUGAUCCUGGCUCAGAAUGAACGCUGGCGGCGUGCUUAACACAUGCAAGUCGCGCGCGAAAAGGGGCAACCCUGAGUAGAGCGGCGGACGGGUGAGUAACACGUGGGUAAUCUGCCUAGGAGCGGGGGAUAACCUGGGGAAACUCAGGCUAAUACCGCAUACGAUCACGGGGCUUCGGCUCUGUGCUGAAACGUGGCCUCUGCUUGCAAGCUACGACUCCUAGAGGAGCCCGCGCCUGAUUAGCUAGUUGGCGGGGUAACGGCCUACCAAGGCGACGAUCAGUAGCCGGCCUGAGAGGGCGAUCGGCCACACUGGAACUGAGACACGGUCCAGACUCCUACGGGAGGCAGCAGUGAGGAAUCUUGCGCAAUGGGGGAAACCCUGACGCAGCAACGCCGCGUGGAGGAUGAAGGUCUUCGGAUUGUAAACUCCUGUCAGAGGGGACGAAUGCUUACGGGCUAAUCACCGUGAGCUUGACGGUACCCUCAGAGGAAGCCACGGCUAACUCUGUGCCAGCAGCCGCGGUAAUACAGAGGUGGCAAGCGUUAUUCGGAAUUAUUGGGCGUAAAGGGCGCGUAGGCGGCUAGACAAGUCCCGGGUGAAAUCCCUCGGCUCAACCGAGGAACUGCCUUGGAAACUGUCUGGCUUGAGGCCGGGAGAGGGUAGUGGAAUUCCCAGUGUAGCGGUGAAAUGCGUAGAUACUGGGAGGAACACCGGUGGCGAAGGCGGCUACCUGGACCGGUUCUGACGCUGAGGCGCGAAAGCGUGGGUAGCAAACAGGAUUAGAUACCCCGGUAGUCC
rnacentral:rRNA from 1 species